AUAACACUCCCACGGGGUGCUAAUACCGCAUGAAACGGCUGGAUCGCAUGGUCCGGUCGUCAAAGGUGGCUCUGGCAUAAGCUAUCGCCUAGAGAUGGCCCCGCGUCCGAUUAGCUUGUUGGUGAGGUAACGGCUCACCAGGCGACGAUCGGUAGCUGGUCUGAGAGGAUGGUCAGCCACACUGGGACUGAGAUACGGCCCAGACUCCUACGGGAGGCAGCAGUCGAGAGGCUUCGGCAAUGGGGGAAACCCUGACCGAGCGACGCCGCGUGGAGGAAGAAGGCCUUCGGGUCGUAAACUCCUUUUGGUAGGGACGAACCUUCAUCUGGCUAAUAACCAAGUGAUUUGACGGUACCUACAGAAGAAGCACCGGCUAACUCCGUGCCAGCAGCCGCGGUAAUACGGGGGGUGCGAACGUUGUUCGGAAUCACUGGGCGUAAAGAGCGCGUAGGCGGCCCUGUAAGUGGGGUGUGAAAUCCCCCGGCUCAACCGGGGAACUGCAUUCCAUACUGCUUGGCUUGAGGGCAGCAGAGGAAACGGGAAUUCCCGGUGUAGCGAUGAAAUGCGUAGAUAUCGGGAGGAACACCAGUGGCGAAGGCGCGUUUCUGGGCUGCAUCUGACGCUGAGGCGCGAAAGCUAGGGGAGCAAACAGGAUUAGAUACCCUGGUAGUCCUAGCCGUAAACGGUGGGCACUAGGUGUAGGAGGUAUCGACCCCUCCUGUGCCGCAGCUAAC
rnacentral:rRNA from 1 species